rnacentral:rRNA from 1 species
GAUGAACGCUGGCGGCGUGCCUAAUACAUGCAAGUCGAGCGAACAGACGAGGAGCUUGCUCCUCUGACGUUAGCGGCGGACGGGUGAGUAACACGUGGAUAACCUACCUAUAAGACUGGGAUAACUUCGGGAAACCGGAGCUAAUACCGGAUAAUAUAUUGAACCGCAUGGUUCAAUUGUGAAAGACGGUUUUGCUGUCACUUAUAGAUGGAUCCGCGCCGCAUUAGCUAGUUGGUAAGGUAACGGCUUACCAAGGCAACGAUGCGUAGCCGACCUGAGAGGGUGAUCGGCCACACUGGAACUGAGACACGGUCCAGACUCCUACGGGAGGCAGCAGUAGGUAAUCUUCCGCAAUGGGCGAAAGCUUGACGGAGCAACGCCGCGUGAGUGAUGAAGGUCUUCGGAUCGUAAAACUCUGUUAUUAGGGAAGAACAAAUGUGUAAGUAACUAUGCACGUCUUGACGGUACCGAAUCAGAAAGCCACGGCUAACUACGU